ACUCAUCCCAGCCCCCCAGCAGGAGCUACCCCUUUAUCACUCUAUAAUUCAUUGUAAAGGCUCGCUUGAUGGUUUUCUACCGCGUGGCAAAACAGAGCAGGAUUCUGUCUGUUUUAGCUGUUUCCAACAUUAUUCAUUACUGCUAUAUCCAAACGCGAUCUUAGUUUGAUAAUAGGACUCCAAGCAGUGAUAAAAUAAAGUGAGAUUAAAAUAACUACAUAAUAAAAUUCUAGAUUAAGCUGAAGCUAUGGUAAAUCUUUCAUAGCUGUAGAAAGGUAAUAGCUAAGCUGCAUGGAUUCAGUAUUUUGUUGAAUGGCUGUGAUAAAAUGUGUUGAUCCACAUUAUAGCUUUAUGGCUGUUUCUGUAUAACAACCGUUACUACAGUUCAGCUGUAGUUUAGCACGUAAAGAGAUCUCCUCUGAAUUUAUAACUUGUUGCAUGUCUUUUGUUUGGCUUUUAUAAUCUCUGAGUAGCAAAAAAAAAAAAAGACUUGUGUGGUAAUAGGUGAUGGGUAUUGCCUUGACACAGGGGCUGUUAAGAAAAUGGGAAGGGCGGGUCCCUUCUUCCCUGAUCAGAACUCUUUGGUUUACUUGGGUCGGCAGGAUGCCCCUGCAAGUCCUGAUUUAAGAUUGUAGCUGUAAAGGAGAGAAGAGUAGGGGCUCACAAUGCGCUUCCUGAGCAGCCAGGAUAGCUGGUGCCCACUGCUGGGGCUGCUGGCCUCCCCUUUGCCUCGUCUCCCACACGUGGAGCGGCGUAUCACAGGUUUUACAGCCAGGCAGCUGGUCAUUGGUCCCUUAAUGGCAAGCUGCCUAAUGGCCCAAUCAACCUCCUGGCCACCACUCCCAUCUGCCAGCAACGAUGAUGUGACCCUUGGCUUUUGGUUGAGGCCUUGUCAUGGUUCUGAGGCCACUUGAGAGCUGUGACUCAUCUCGGCCCCAUUGCUGAUCGCCAGAGAAGCCUGCUGCGUGCCUGAUGGCAAGUGCUGCUUCCUGAGGGAGGAGGCUGCACGGCUGCCUUUGACGUGAUGCACCACCAGCCAGCUGCAGGGACCUUGGGCUGCUGCAUGCAUCCAGUACCCCUCGUGUAACAUCACACGGUUCUGGUUUGUGAAGGGCAGACCCAGGCCAGGGGAGGCAAACGCAGCGCUGGGAACUGGGCUGGGGAGAGCUGCCCAAGCCCCAGGCUUGGCUCAGGCUGCCUGUGUUCAGCUGGGCAAGAGCUGCAGCUGUGAUCACCCACAGCAGCGAUGGGGACUGCAGUUCCUCCUCAGGCACAGCAUCUGGUGCAGCAAGACAAAUGCUUCCUCCUUUUAUUGUGCUGAGCUCGCAGUACAGGCCUGCAAAUCUGGGAACCAAACUACUUGCGGAACAAGUUACAGAACUUCUUGCUUUGAAGAACUGAUGGUACUUUUGUGUUCUUUUGAUUUACCGUUUAUUCUUUCAGUUCAGAUCAGUGAUCCGGCGCUUGGCUCUGCUUAGUGUAUCGAUUAGUCCAGAAUCCCACCUGCCACUUUGCUGCAAGGUAUUGUAAAACUAUUGUGAAGCCCUAAAACAUUUCUGAAAGAAUAUAAGCCUCACGCUCUCCUUGCCAAGGAGCACCUCAUGGAGCAGCUUUGAAGAGUAGAUGGUAACUUCACUAAGUGCAAUGACGUCGCACCAAAGAUGGAUUCAGCCUGGGGUGUUUGCUGGCAAAUGCACCACCCUCAGGCCUUGCUUGUUCCCCCCAAACCCUCAAGUUUUUGUUGACUCGUGAGCCAGGAGUAUCCCAGAAGAGAGGCAGGGAGCAGGAAAUAACGGAGAUACGUCUGUACAUUGGAAAGGUAGGUUGCUCCCUCGGAAAAAAUUAUCCCAAGGAUUAGCAAGUCAUCAGUAGAUAAAACAGCACACUCCAGCUGAAGAGAGUCCCUGGUAGAUGAGGAGAUCAAGCCUGGAGGGCUGUUGUCAGAGAAAGCAGCAGGGCUGAAGUCUCCAGUAGUCUGGGACUAAUUCUGACCCUGCCUGUAAGAGGCAACAGCAGUAGUGGGUACAGUGUGGCUGGGAAGAGAAGGUUGAUUUGCUUGGCAGAAUAUGCAUUUUAAUUGCUCCUUUUCUUUCCUUUUUUAUGUGAUUUGAUUGUGAAUUAUGUUUUCUGCAUUGGUAAUUAGAGGGUAGAGCAGAUGGUGAGGUUUUGGCUGAAGUGAUGUAGCCAUUGAAAUAACUCAUACUGCUGGCUGACAAGUUUCCUAGGAAAGGGUGUGUUGUGCUGACGGAGAUGUGCUGGGAGUUGCUCUGACAGAGACCUGCCUGUUCUUUAAAUAGUCUGGAGUAGAUCUUUAAAUGAUAGAAAUUGGCAUGGCCCCACUGACAUCAGCAUCCAGGCUGGCUUACACCACCUAGGAAUCUGUUUGCUGGGGAGAAACUGUUUUGCCCGGACACCUAGGGAUGCCUGUGCUCACACUGCAUUGGCAGUUGCCUGCGCUGUGUUUGUUUGGGCGCCGCAGGCAGCCCAGGGGGUGCUGGCUGGGUUUGCUGCCCAGUUCCAAAGGGGCCACACCACAAAAGCCGUGCAGCACUUUGCUGAGCCCACGAGCUGUGGGCUUGCUGGGCGGCUGAGGAGGAGGGUGGUGAGCUGCCCUGGGAGCCUCUGCAGCUUUUCCAGCUUUGCCGGCUGUCCUGGUUUCAGCUGGGACAGAGUUUGUUUUCUUCUCAGUAGCUGGUUCAGUGCUGUGUUUUGGGUUUGGUGUGAGAACAGUGUUGCUACCACAGGGGUGUUUUUGGUUGUUGCUGGGUGAUGUUUAUGCUCAGCCAAGGCCUUUUCAGUUUCUCAGGCCCCGCCAGUGGGAAAGCUGGAGGGGCACAAGAAAUCGGGAGGGGACACAGCCAGGACAGCUGACCCGAACUAGCCAGAGGGACAUUGCACACCACAGAGCCUCAUGCUCGGUACAUAAACUGUGGGAUGGCUGGGAGCCGCCGAUCGCUGCUCAGGGACCGGCUGGGCAUUGCUCAGCAGGGGUGAGAGGUUGUAUUGUGCAUCACCUGGUUUCUUUUCUCCCUUCCCUUUGAAUUUAAUUCCUUCCCUCUUCUCCCUCCUUUUAAUUAUUACUGUUGUUAUUGUUAUUAUUAGUGGUUUUGUUUUAUUUUGGUUCAAUUACUAAAUUGUUCUUAUCUCAACCCUCAAGUUUUACACUCCUUCCCGAUUCUCCUUCCCGCCCCUCUGGGUGAGGGGGAGUGCGCGAGCAGCUGCGUGGUGCUUAGUUACCAGCCGGGGUUAAGCCACGACACCCUCCCAGGCUGGCACCUUGUACCCUGCAGGUUUGGCUGCCCACAGCUGGAUAGGCUGAGGGACAGAUAGGCUGAAGGACGGGAUGCAGGCAGAGCAUCCUACACAGCCAGCCCACCCGUGGGGGACAGCUCUUCACAUGCUCGGGAGAUGCCUGGCUCUGCCUUGUCCUCAUAUCCUGCACUGAGAAGCAAGACCUGGUAAUCCAAAACUUCAGCAGAAGUUACAAAGCUGAACUUUGAGAGAGAAACCUUGGGAAGGUGCUAAAGUUCAAUGAAGGGUGAAAUCCCUUUGUCUCUCUCUGUGUUAGCCAGACACUUCCAUUCAUCACCUUCCCGCUUAGUGAUUUGCAGUUAAAAUGUUGGAUCAGUCUCAAAACAGUGCUGGAUCCUAAUUGUAUUUUUGAAAGGGAGAGAAAACCCUUCCUAGAAAGUUGCUUAAAUAUGUUUUAGACUUUCAUUCAUGUCUUCUUUUGUCAGACAUGAGCUUUUGGUGAUGUGCCAGUAUGCAGAGCCAGGGAGCUGAGCUCCCAAAAUAGGCUCUUCUGCCACCUUCCAGCCUCCUCCCUCAGAAAGAUGAGGUGGGUUCCCUCUGCCUUUCUCCGUGCAGUUAGAGACCUUCUGCUUUCCUUCAGAAGCCCUUGGCAUGGUGUGUCUGGUUAACGAGGCUCAGGAAACGCUGACGGUUCAGUCCCUCUCCCAGGCUGGCUGAAGGACACGUGUUUAUGGCAUUUAAUUCUGAUAAAUGGCAGACAUGGAGUGUAGCCCACCUCAGCGCUGCGGAACACAGGACUGCCUUCCUGCUGAAAUGCAUGUGGAUGAGUGGCUUACAGCCCUGCUUAGCGCUGUCUGCCUCUUCCACCUUCUAGGAAAGCUGGUCUGGGAGGGAGACGCGGUCAGUGCUGGGUUAGAGCAAAGGCUCAUCCCAGUGUGGGACAGCACUGGGUAGUGCGCUUUAGGGUGGAAUUGAGGCUGUGCCUGCGUGCACCCUGCAGUGCUUUGUUUGCUGCGCAGAGGCAGCAGGGCACCACGCUGGUGUGUCCUCCUGGCCUCGCCAUACGCCCUCAGCAGUACCCAGGCACCUGCCCCUUGCCCUUGAGGCAGUGCUGAUGCAGCGCUCACAGGUUUUGAGGCAUAAAGGCCCACUGAGAAGAUCCCCGUAACAAAUCAAACCUACUUAUCGUGGGGGCAUGUGCCUGCUCAGGCAGGGCUCUGUUGGCUUCUGAAAUCCAAGGGAGGAGAGGUGGGAGGUUUUCAAAGGGAGCUUUGCUGGCCCUGCUGGCUGCAGCCAGAUGGAGGGGCUGCUCUGUGAUAGCAUCCUUCAUCUUCUGUAGCGAUGCGGUUACUUAUACUCUCUGGCUAGUGCUUGUAAACACUCACAGAUUUUUAUUUUUUCUCUUUAAUACAGCAACACUGUGAGCUCUUCCAUUUGUAAAAUCUAUCUGAAAAGAAUUAAAGAAAGAUAUUUACAAAUGCACACGCACGCACACACAUAUCAUUUAAGACAGCAAAUAACUAGGAAAGGCGAGACAGUAGUAAUUCACUCUCGUUUUUCCUCUGAUGUUUUUAAAUGCCCCAAGUUUUCUUCAUAUGGUUUAUGAUGUUAUCAUGCUCCUGUCUAAACUACUACCUUAAAAUACAUUCUGUGGGGUUAUUUUCUCCAUAAAACCCUGACAAUAAUAAUUUCCCCUGUAAAACCUUCAGUUCCUACUUGCACUGUAAUUUUGGAUCUGCCAAGCCAUCCACAUCUUUUGAUGGCUACCAAAUUGCAGGCUUGCAGGUACCCGCUUUCCCUGCCGCCGACUCAUAGGUCACAUUAUGCCACGCUGAUGACUAAUGCCCUGAGCUGCCAGAGGUGAGCUCGCAUCCCCGGCAAGGAUGGGAGGACAACAAGAGGUGUGUUUAAUGGAUUGUGUCCUUUUAAUACCAAGAGUGCUGUUGGGCCAGCUCGUGCUCUGUCUGAACACCAUGCUGGUGACCUUGAAAUGGGCUCACUAAAGGUGACGUGUUGAGAGCAGCCCCUCCCUGCCCCAAGCUGACAAGAAGCCUUCAGACCUUGAGGAGGAGGAGCAGGAGCCCACCUGCAGGUCACCGCCUCGGAGAUGCUGCCCUUAUUGCCUGGUGUGUGUUGUUGAGCUGACACUUUGAUUUUUGGUUGCAGCCCUCCCACCCUGCUCCAGCAUCUCCCCUCAGUCACCUCACACAUCUUGUAAUUUGUGCUUAGCCCAACCAGAGGCUUCUUGGAGGAACAGUUGUAACCUGGUGGGUUUUCCUUAUCUUUGGAAAGCGUUCCCACGUUAACCCCAUCCUGGUUAGGUCUGCAGCAAAGGCUUUGCUCUCUGAUUGCAGGUCUUGCCAACUCAUUUAUAACAAGAAAAACAUGGGGCAUUGCCAAGCCAUGAGAACAUCCUCGCAGUACCCGACGCUGUGCCUCUGGACAGUAUAAUUUUUCCUCUAGGUUGUUUCAGAUUGUCUGAGGAAAGCACAAGAUUGUUUUUUAGGGGAUUUUUUGUUGUUGAAGUCCUGGUUUAAUUUUUAUAUUGAACUUUCAGCUUACUGUAUGGAACAUUUUUUGAGCAUCUGAGGUAUUUAUAUGUAUGAGAUAAAUAUCUGCUCUUAACUUCAAAGUACACUGUUGGAGAGCUGUCAGGGACUGGGUCUGGCUUAAGCAGGAAUUACGUGCCCCAGGUUUCGAGAUAGAAAAAGCACGGUGUCCUGUUGCCUGAAUAUGUAAUUUGUCUUGUCCAACAGUUGCUUCAAUCUAGUCCCAUGCAAAUGGUAAUUCACCUGCUGGGACUCCUUCAAAAGCUUCCCGUGUACCUGCACCUGUAACCCACACAUCCAUCUGCCUGUGUGCAAUGGCACCGUGCUGAAAGGCAUUGAGCCGCUGCGAGAGCCAAUGCCUUUUCCAGUGAUACACAAUGAUGGUUUUGCCAGCCUCUACAGAAGGUGUGGGCAACCGGGUGAUGUGCAGAGACUGCUCAUGAGUUCCCUCAGCUCUAGGAUCCACGCUUCUUGCACGUCGGUGGAAACCUGGAGCAGUUAAUAUUGCUCCUCCCUUGCUUCCUUGUAGCUGAAGUGUUUAUUCCUGUGCGAGAGGAGGAGGAGACGGUGGCGGCCAGCAGCCACUGCCCCGUUCGCCCCAUGUUAAGGACUGUAACAGUGAAUCAAACCCUCCUUGCACAAAGGAGCUCAGGAAAUAGGGGCUGUGGGGUUUCUAACCCCCCUCCCCUUACUGCGCUGGACUGGUUUAGAAGAGGCACUGUAGCUGUUCGUGCAGGGCUGCUGCGGAGCUGCUUUCUGCCGAGCAAGCAGAGGGGUGUGAGGUGAGGAGGACCCUGGCUCCUAAGGCUGCUGGUGCUGCAAGUAACUGCAACCACCAGAGAGCAGCCCCUGGCCUUUGGAAAGGCAUGGCGGGGGGGGAGGAAAAAUGACUGUGACAUGAGAAGGGGUUGGGAAAGAGAUUUGACGGGGGAGAAGGAAGCGUAAACAAAUCUGGUGUUAAAAAUAAUUAAAACUAUUAGAAGAAAAAAUAAUUUGGCAUUAGCUUUAGAAGAAAAUGUACUUGUCUAUAAGUGCCUGAGACAGGUUAACUUAUAGGGUCUGGUCGUGCCUUUCCCUAAGGAGCAUCAAAAGCAGUGGCAAAAAGAAGCACUUUUUUCUUCUAGCUGACUUUAUAUGGUGAAAAUCGGAUGGUAACUCUCUCUUGGACAAGGCGAUUCAGCGGCAGCUUUUGUCACCAGGCCGGACCCAGCUGCGGUGCGAUGUGCUUCUGCCCCCCAGCAUCCCCUCCCUGCCGCGGGGCUGAGCCAGCUGGGUUCCCAGCUUCGUGUGUGAGUACAAAGUCGAUGGGGAGUGUCGGUGAGUGCAGGGUCGGUUGGAAGGUGUUUUCAGAGAGCUGCUAGGCGCUAAAGCUGCCUGAACCGAGCCCUAAAGCGAAAAGGGCUGGACCUGUCUUGUGGUGCGUGGUACCUGCUCCCCAGUGCUGUAUUCAGGGGUGAGCAGCCCCAAAGCCCUGGUGAUGGGCACACAGGAGUUUGUCCAGGGGAGCGAUUCCUGGUGAAGAUGGGCCGUUCAGCUGCUGCCCUGAGGCCAGCCCGAAACUGUCUGUCAUGCACACACUGAUCUCUGCAACUAAUCCAGCGGUUGCAUAGCGCAGCCCCUGUCACGUCUCUUGAGCAUCCUGCUUCACCACGCAGACAGCCCGUGCUUUAUUCUGGCCCCAUCACCCAAGGCUUCUGCCUAAAGCUCCGUGCAGCCCGCAGCAGGGCAGAGCCCACCAGUGCAUGCAGCAGGGUGAGGGCAGUGAGGGCAAGCUUCCCAGCCCUGUGUGUGUGCCUGCUGCGCUGGGACCGGCUCCUGUGCACCGCUUGAGUGGGAAUGCAAAUGCAGCCCUUUGCUAAAGCCAUUUGUGUGUUUGCUCGGUGAGGGUACAGCGGGAAAGGUGACCCCUGGGCUGAGCCAGGCAGGGUGAGGGCAUAUUCUGGGAAGGAUAAUGGACUGUUUUGAGCAUGAUUUGGGGAUCUAUAUGUUAAAGCCACUGCUUUGUCUCAGAUUAACUGGAAUUGCUAUUGCAGAACUGAACUGAGCGAGGCUUUCUGCCUCAUUUUGCCCUUGAAGCGCUGAUUCAAGGGGAUACUGUGCCUGUUACACUCUGGGCCGAGCUCUGCUCUUGGUGACUCAUUCCUCUUCUUCUUGGGGCAAACCCAUCACCCAGUGGGGCCCUUUCUCGUGUUUCUGGUUUGCUUUUCUCCUCUCUUUCCCCCCCUUUAUUUGUUUUCACAAAUAAAUGUACCAGUGCUAGCUAAAUCACACACCAGUAAAGUUUAUCACUAUUUUGGAAGAGCUAUUAGAAACAUAUUUGUCAUGGAGUCAAUGAGGGGAAGUAAAUUAGCAGGACAUCUCAUGGAUGAAAGCGUGUAUCUUUUUUUUUUUUUUUUUCCUUGCUGCCCAGUUAGCUCUUAAAUUUCUCUAAAGCUGACACUGAACAGCAGAGACAGCAGAUUUCUUUCUUCUCCUGCCUUCCUUUUAUGUUAUAUAUAAUUAAAUACUGUAGAGAAUAUAUAAUUUAUACUUGUUAACUAUGUAUGAUGCAACUUGUAAGGAUAAGGGUAAAACUAUUGUCUUUGUCUAAUCACAGUUCAUAUUCCAAGGAACAUGCUGCAUUUUCAUCCUAGAAGUGUAAUUCUGAAGACCAGCACCGAAGUAGUGGUAACAAAAAAAUUAUAUGGCAAGAGGCAGAGAGAAGGUCUGAGGAGUGAGCCCAUCAGUCCCAGUGCUGUGGCAUCGGUUGUCCCCAGUUGUACCCAAAUAAUGUACCAGCUCAGCACCAGCACCCUCCCUCCCACAGCACCAGACCCACGGUGGCUUUGGCGAUGGGGAGGUGGGUACGUACCCAUGGGUGCUGCCAUCGCCAGCACACACUGCACCCGGCGGCACGGCAAGGCUCUUGGCCAAUGUGUGGGACGGGCUGGGGGCUGUGAUGGGGGCGGGUGCUGGCAGCAGCGUGGGUGCUGCAGGAGCGGGUCACACGGCAAAGGGUGCAGCCAGCAGUGCCGGCAUCUGGCCAGGAGCCAGAAAUCCAUACAGGUGUGCCUGCCGUUUAAGAGGGCUGAUGGAGUGCUGCAGCACCAGCGAUGUAGCCCUGAUCCCUGCGCACACAUGCAGCUGGGCAGAACGUGCAGGCACUGCUGGGGUGGGCAUGCGGCUGCAGCCCGCAGCCGAGAUGGGCUGCCAGUGCUCUCCAGCAGGGCUGUGCUGGCCAGACUUGGUGCUGUACCCAAGCUCGGUGCUGUACCCGAGCUCACUAACCUGUAGCUGGAAACGGCUGAGCCGGCCUGCAAGGCGGGAGGGAAUGGCAAAGACCUUCAAUUUGUGCCAACGUGCACCAACGUUCUGUAGCAUCAUCCUUGCCCAGAGGCAACCUCUGUACUUGUCUCCUUUUUGAAAGUGUUUGCUUAUUUAUUUAUUUAUUUAAAUUGUGUCUGAGGCUCUGAAUAACUGACAGGGCAGAAGCAGCCUUUGCUUCCCUGCGAGCUUGCUGAUGAGUGCUGGAGCUAUUCUUGGCUCACAGGCAUCCAAGUGACCACACUAAAUGCCAGAACAUCUGGAGCACCAUCUGUACUGCCAGCUUUGCACAACACCUCAACUACUGCCUGGUUCUCCUCCUGCUGCAUGCUAUGUUGCAUGGAUGAACAAGUUAAGUUCCAGUCCUGUACAUCAGGAAUAAGCUUCAGUUCUCAUGCCCCGUUUAAAGGGUGUGCUGCUUUCAUCCUGCCGUAGCUGGUGUAAAUAACCUCAAGCCUCUUUCCAGGCUGUAGCUCACCUUUGGCAACAUCCUCCUGGGACCACUGGACUUACAGAGCUCCUCUUUCCAUGUAAUGUAUCUGUGCUCCCAGUUUGAUACACAAUAGUCUGUUUUUCUUCUUUUAAAGCUUACCUUUCUUCUUAGUUUUUAAAAUAAACAUUAACUUGCUGUUCAUCUUUUAUUUCCUUUUCAUGCUCUGAGCAGUGAGUAAUUAGAGCUGCAUCACACUGGAGAAAUUACAACAAUAUAAUAUUUAUACAGUUAAAUCUGCAUAAGUAUAAUAUCUUUGAAAAAUAGCAGGCUGCUCUAAGGGAAAUUAAUUAUCCCAUUGGGACAGUCAUUAUUCUGAAACAAAAGCUCUCAGUUUUCUUUGCCUGCUUUCAUUUUGAGCAUUUCUUUCAUUUUAAGUACUGGCCACAUACUCCAGCCCUUUUUCUCUGUGGCUGGAACAUAAAUAAUAAUUUGUUUAAAGCAGUGUAAAAUCUGUCUUGGAAACUUUUACAGAUAUCAUGAGAAUAUUAAGCGACUUCAAAAUUAAGUCAAAGUGAAUUUUGCAGAUCUGUUUUUGUGGCUAUAUAUCAUUACUGGUCACCAAGCCGGUUCAGCCCACCAAGUGUCAUUUUCCUUGGCUGUUUUUCCAUGAGUUGUUGCUUCUUUGAGGAACAUGACUCCAUUUAUCAUAAUAAGCAUUUAUUAGCAUCGUAAUCUCUACCCAGGCCAUUACAAGCCAUUGUAUUUAAGGCAAAAUUUCUUUUUUUUUUCAAAAGGGGCUGGCACUGCUGUACAUGGUGUACUCCAGUAUCUCACAUCUGCACACAGGCCUUGGAAGUCAGACUCUGGACCAGACAGCCAGAGGCUUUGAAUACAGCAACACGUGGCAUCUAUGGCUUCAAUCACCAGCUAACUUCUACAGUUGCAUGGAGCUACAGAGGGACGUUGUGGGGCUGGCCAGGCAAGUUUCCAGCAGUACAGACGUACUGUUGAGUACUCGAGGAACCCCAUCUCAUCCACACCCAAAACCUAUGGGCAAGUCUCACGUGCGUUUGGAGGAGCUUUUGCAGUCAAGGUGAAUUACAAGGCUUCUUGCUGAAUCCCUGACAGGUACAAAUACUUAGUUAUCCUUGGCUUUUCUGCUGAACCUAAUCAAAGCCAUUGCUUAUUAAAAUCCUAUUGUCUCCGCAGUGAAGAACAAGGACAAGCUUCUCUGCAGUGAUUUAAUACUUGCAGCAGUUCAGUGUAAGGAUUUAUUAUGGCCAGCUGAAAGUGCAAACACACACUGCCCAAGUCAUUACUUCUAAUUUGCCACUUCUUUAAAAAAUGUAUACACAAGGGUAAAACCUCAGUCCUUCUUUACAGUUCAGUGUGAUCUCUUCUCAGUCAGGGGAACAAAACAGAGCACAACCCCUCACCCUCCCCUUCAGGCAGAAGGACAUUAAGAUUCAUCGCAUUUAAAGGCAGAGGGCCAUGCUUCUGCUUUAGACUAGGUUGUUUUAGUGGGAUGGGUUUUUUAGUGUUUUUAGACUAGAAACUGGUCUAAAAAAUUUUAACUACUCAGAUUUAAUGGUUUAAAUUGCCAGUUUAAAUUAUCCAGUUAUACCUGUGAUCCUCUCUGAGAGGAUCCCUUGUCAGAGGAGAAAAGACAGGUCUGCUUCUUCCCGAGGGGCUCAGCCCUGCAGCCUUCGGUGCAUGCAGACGGCUCUGGACCCCUGCACCACACCUGUGUUGCAGCACGAACCCUCCAUGCGGGGUCACAUGAACUGCACUAAUUAAGAGAAUGAUGUACUUUUUUUUCCAGGUAAUGAGCUUUUCUUUGUGAAUCAAUUUUACAAAGGUUUCAAGGACUGUAUCAUAAUAAAUAAGGCACAAAGAUAAAUGAACAAGCACAAUUAAUAAAUGUAAUGUAUCGGCGCUCUGAGCUUUAAAACUGCUUAUCUAAUCAUACGUCUUUACUCACAGUAUUAAAACUCUUAUGCUACAAGAGUUGUAAAACAAUUAAAAAAAGCUUUAAUGGUUUAAAGAAAGUAAAGGCAAUGUGUGCUUUUUCCAGGCUAUAGGUGCUCGGUGAUGGGAGCUCUGGCUUGGCAGGCUUGCUGAGGACCAGCGUUUACAUCUCAAAGGUGAGGGGUCUGGAGCCACGUGGCGCCUGAGCUGCAGCUGGUGAGUGAUGCUUUGCCUGGUCGAAGAGGCUGUCUCCCUCCAUCCUUCUCGAGGCUGAAAUUUUACAUGGCUUUCAGGUGAAGGCCUUACCUGGCUCCAUUUUGGAGGACGCCGCCACAUUCCAGCAGCUGGGAAGAAGCAUCCCACCCCAUUGCACGCGUCCCAGCAGAGGCCACUGUAGCAGACAAAGUCAGCACCGUCCCUCUGUUAACAAACGCAUUGUCACAAAACCCUCAGCCAUGAAACACAGCGAAGCCGCUACCUCCUUGCCAGAGACCUUAUGUUUGGUAUUUCCUGUGCUUUUAGCCUUCUAGCACGCUGGUUCGGCUAAGCUGCAUGCCAUCACGGUCAAACUACUGCUGUGGCUGCAGCACGGGCAGCGGCACCAAAGUGCCCGACACCGCUGCUGAAAUACAGAUUUCAGGCUGGGGGGUGGGGGUGGUUCUCUUUCCCCUCCUCCCCAGAUUUUGAAUCCCUUCAGGAGGUCAUCGCAAAGAUGGUGAAGUUGGUAGAAACACAAACCUGACCUCUAUUCCAUGUUUUCUGCAAGUUCACUGUCCCAAAUCCGUACUUGCCUCUAAGCCAGACUGCAGGCUCUGGUGAUGACACAGUCACUGGUAUAGAUAAUUUGGCUCCUCAAUGUUUUAUUUGUGCUUUGAAAAAACAUCUUUGAGCAGUUUCUUAAAUGUCAUUCCUUGCAGUAUACAGAGCAGGCAAUAAACAAUAAAAUUAUUCACCUUGAAGAAACCAUCUGCUGUCUUAAAGGACAUCACCAGGUUUUUUUGUUGCUUUGAAUGGUCCUCUGGGAUGCUGUAAGUGUCAUUAAAACACUGUGUUUCCCAUCA